rnacentral:rRNA from 1 species
UCAUAUCACCAUGCCCCCCUGAACAUGCUCGAUCCCGUCUGAUCUCAGAAGCUAAGCAGGGUCAGGCCUGGUUAGUACUUGGAUGAGAGACCACCUAGGAAUACCAGGUGCUGUAAGAA